ensembl:snRNA U6 U6 spliceosomal RNA
GUGCUCACUUCGCCAGCACAUAUACUAAAAUUGGAAUGAGACAGAGAAGAUUCGCAGGGCCCCAUGUCCAACGAUGACAUGGGAAUGUGUGAAGCGUUUCAUAUUUUU